AUUGAACGCUGGCGGCAGGCUUAACACAUGCAAGUCGAGCGGGCGAGGUUGCUUCGGUAACUGAGCUAGCGGCGGACGGGUGAGUAAUGCUUAGGAAUCUGCCUAUUAGUGGGGGACAACAUUCCGAAAGGGAUGCUAAUACCGCAUACGUCCUACGGGAGAAAGCAGGGGCUCUUUAUGACCUUGCGCUAAUAGAUGAGCCUAAGUCGGAUUAGCUAGUUGGUGGGGUAAAGGCCUACCAAGGCGACGAUCUGUAGCGGGUCUGAGAGGAUGAUCCGCCACACUGGGACUGAGACACGGCCCAGACUCCUACGGGAGGCAGCAGUGGGGAAUAUUGGACAAUGGGGGGAACCCUGAUCCAGCCAUGCCGCGUGUGUGAAGAAGGCCUUUUGGUUGUAAAGCACUUUAAGUGGGGAGGAGGCUUACCUGGUUAAUACCUGGGCUAAGUGGACGUUACCCACAGAAUAAGCACCGGCUAACUCUGUGCCAGCCGCCGCAGUAAUAC
rnacentral:rRNA from 1 species